GCUUUUUUUCUGGAGACUGCCUCUUGAAGAUUGCUGGGUGAGCCCUGAUUCUUGGAAAGAGCCUCCCCUAUCCACCCCUGGAGUCAUGCAGAAGAAUCUGGAGAUAUCCUAGAGGGGUUUGGGGCAUGCAGAGGGUCCCCAGGCCCGCCUACAGCCGGACCCACUGACACCUGAGCCCUCUGACGCUGUCACCAUCCUCUGCCACGAGGUCAGGGACACAUGGUAGUGAACUCUAUGCCACCACCAGAGGGGACUGCGUGUGACAUCAGUGUGGAACAGCCGUGAUGCGGCGUCAUCGUCAUCGGGUGUCGCUUUUGGCAGCUGGCGUCGGGUGUCACCGUCAUGCGGAGGGGACAAAAGGACCCCCCUGAGGACAUUGCACUGAAGCUGGGAACUCUGUGACCAGCUCGAGGACUUCCCAGGGGAAGUGGGGACACUGCAUCAUGGUGUCACACCCCCAAAGUUGGUGACCUUCAUGUCACCCCCAGAGUGUGACCCCCAAAGUUGGGGACAUCCCCCUGUCACACUCCAAUGUUGAGGACACCCCCCACAGUGUCACACCCCAAAGUUGGGGACACUCCUCUGGGGACCCCUUCUGUGUCCACCCCCACAGACCACCAUUGUUCCGAUGGGGCAGGGGUGAUAGCCCUUAUUUUGUAAUUAAGGUUUAUUUUUUGAUAAUGGGAUUGGGGGAUGACCCCACUCCCCCCCAUGCCCCGAUGUGAAUAAAGGGCAGAAGAG
ensembl:lncRNA